rnacentral:rRNA from 1 species
UUUAGAGAGACACGUAGCAGGUAAACACGCCAGCAGCAUUAUGAGUGGUGAAAUACAGAAAUAAAUACCUCUACCUGUGUGUUAAAGAGCUAAAACACUGCUGCUAAACAGGGAUUAGAGACCCCUUUAUACAAGUGCUUAAUUACACUGCGGAGUACUAAAACUUUUUGGGUUAAAACUUAAACAACAUGGCGGUAACUUUAACUUAGGGGAACUUACCCUGUAAAUGAUAACCACCAAGGUCAAACAACUACUAUAAACUCUUGUAUGCCGUCGUCGUCAGGUGGCACUUAAUGUUCUACCUAGAUAUAACUUAAAAAGACAGAUCAAGGUGCAGACAAUUUAGUAGUAGUGGCGAGUUACAGUUUAAAUUAUUAACGGAUGAACUGUGUAAUUGUAUACUGAAGGGGGACUUAACAGUAAUAAAGACUACCAAUAGCUUAUGAACUAUAUAAGGUUGUGUACAA